GACGAACGCUGGCGGCGUGCCUAAUACAUGCAAGUUGAGCGCUGAAGGUUGGUACUUGUACCAACUGGAUGAGCAGCGAACGGGUGAGUACCGCGUGGGGAAUCUGCCUUUGAGCGGGGGACAACAUUUGGAAACGAAUGCUAAUACCGCAUAAAAACUUUAAACACAAGUUUUAAGUUUGAAAGAUGCAAUUGCAUCACUCAAAGAUGAUCCCGCGUUGUAUUAGCUAGUUGGUGAGGUAAAGGCUCACCAAGGCGAUGAUACAUAGCCGACCUGAGAGGGUGAUCGGCCACAUUGGGACUGGGACACGGCCCAAACUCCUACGGGAGGCAGCAGUAGGGAAUCUUCGGCAAUGGACGAAAGUCUGACCGAGCAACGCCGCGUGAGUGAAGAAGGUUUUCGGAUCGUAAAACUCUGUUGGUAGAGAAGAACGUUGGUGAGAGUGGAAAGCUCAUCAAGUGACGGUAACUACCCAGAAAGGGACGGCUAACUACGUG
rnacentral:rRNA from 1 species